CAGGACAGCACAGGAGAGGGCUGUCCUGUCUCCCCAUCACAGAGGGAAAUGCUCUCCAGGCCCCAAGGCCUGGGCUGGGAAGGGAACCACAGUCAGAGCCCUGCUAUCUCAGAAAGCUAGGAAGAGUUUCCUCUCAAAAAUGAUACUGCUGAUUAAAAGGAAUACUUUUAAGGUCACCAAGGACUUUUAUCCAGGCUGGGGGCCGCUAAUGGAGGGGUGGAGUCCUGAUAACCUGAUUCUAAGCCUCUGAAAGGUGCCUGCAAAGUGGCAGACCCUCCAUUACUGCGUGGGGCAGAGGGGUUGUGUGUGAUUUUCUGGGAAGCUAUUUUUUGCAGUGUCUGAAACAGACCAGGUGGCAAGAAAAAAGGAGAGUAGCCUUUUCCCUCACUUAUCCUGUCAGCUUAUUGUCCAUCCACUUGCAGAGUCCCUGGGCAGAACUGAAGCCUUUUCUUCGUUGCGGUAGGGAAGGAAAAAAGGUGCUAAUUGAGAAGGUUCAUAAAUGGAGAACAUAAAUGAGGUAUCAACAUUCUGAAUUUGCGCAUCUUGGUACCCUGGGUUUUCCCUUCUGUUACAAAGCCCAAAUUAUGGGUUGGCUUAGUUUCCCUGCUCUGGGAAUAAGGAAAGGCCUCUGCAAGAUUUGGGAACUGCAGAGAGACAGAGGAAACGGCAAAGGGAAGUUCUUCCAGGGAGACACAGGCACUUGCUCAGAGACACCCUUUAUUGUCAAGGUGGUUCUGUUGCAAUUUUAAACAGAGCUUUUUCUUUCUUUGUUUCCUUUUUCUUUUUGGUUUUCCGAGACAGGGUUUCCCUGUGGCUUUGGAGGCUGUCCUGGAACUCGCUCUGUAGACUAGGGUGGUAAGUUCUGUAAAGGGACAAGGUUCAAGGAAGGUUGUGGCUCUGGGCAGAACUGGACCCCACCUGUGUUUUCUUCUGUCAACAUCCUGGGGGGAGAAAGGAGCAUUUCUAGAAAGACUGGGAGCAGUGGGGGAAUCUUUGCUGACAUCAAUUCAUUUCAUAUCAGCCAGCUUACUUUGAUUUGGUUUAACUAAUUUUGCUUUCUUUCUAAAUCCUAAAAGAUCUGGAAAAAGAGAAACAAUAUAAUUUUAAAAGUUAAACAAAGUCCAAGGGAUUCAUCAUCCAUAAGGCUUGCUUGGGUGAGGAUUUAACACACACACACACACACACACACACACACACACACACACACGUUAUCGGGAUGUGUACACACAAAUACCACAAACUCCAAAACUUCGCCAGAAAGGAAGGUCCCUGUGGAAAAUCUUCACUUACUAUGUCAUUACUAAGAUAUACUAGAUCAGAACAAGGGCGGGGUGGGAUAAGAAGGAUGAAUGAGAAGCAGGCUUUGGAAGCUUGUAAUAUGCCUCAUCGAUGACUAAUCCUCCAAAGAUGAGAAAAAAGCAAACUUUGCUUUCUGCCAAGGUAACAGGAACUGACUACUGUGGCAAGGCACCCUUGCUCCAGGAACCACGGCCUCAUAGGGUCCAGCACAGCUCAGGUCUUAGACAUCUACUCGCUUUUUCAAGAGGCAAGUGAAAAGAUGCUGAUGGUUAAGGUGAGAGUAUAAAACAGGGGCUCUUCCCCAGUCUCUGUAUUAUUCGAAUGUCAGUUAUUUCUAGUCAUGUGAGAGAAGACCCCAAAUUAUCAUUAUUAUGUUUGUUCAGUUUUUUCAAAUGUAGUACCUCCUAUUCAGAUGGAAGCAAGCCCCAAGGAGACUUUCAGACCAAUGUAGAAAAAGUGGGAGCGCGGCUAUCCUCACACACCCAGGGGCCAAUUCUACAAAUGGCCCAUUACUACCUGGGAUACACAGCACAUCUCAAAUGCGGGUUAAUAAUUCCUAUCAAUCCUUUUCAUUGGCCUGCCACUCUGCAUCCAUGGCAACUACGCACAGGUCUAAAAAUCAGGGAACCUGGGGUGUGAGGGGAUUAGGAAGAUGAAUUUCAAUCAUCUGUCAUGGUCUUCUAUCAGAGUUCAUUUUCAUUUUUAAGAAGCAAGAUCUAAACUAUAUGUGGUUAGUUUUUCUCUUCCUCUUCUUUUUACUGCUAUAGUAAUGGGGAAAGUUCAGGAAGUGGCAACUUAAUUUGUAUCUAAUUUCAGCAAAAUAAUUGCAGACUGUUUCCAGCUUGAAUGAGCAGUGAGGUGAGGCUCCCAGUAGUUGCUUAUUUUAGUAGCACUCCCUCAGGAUGAAUGCUAGCUAUUUUCAGUUGCGUGUGGGAAAACCAUAGGCACUGCCAAGCUGUGGCAAGUUGGCAUGGUGUGUGAGCUGUCAACCAGAUUCCACUCAGAUUCAUUUCUGAUUGCAGUUGGCAUAUGACCUCCCCCCUUUAUUCCGUUUGGGAUCCUGCUUACCUCUUCCUCUGACAUCCCACCUUCCCACCUAUCUCUACCCCCACAAGCAGCUUUUGGCUGACUCUGUCUCAUAAUAGCAGUGUGAGUGCCAAGUGGGUUGUAUAAAAUCCUUAGCAAGAGAUAUGAAAUGAAGCACAUUGCUGAGAACUCACAGGGACCAGAGUGUACCCAUCAACAAAAAGCACCUAAUACACAGCGAAAUUAUACAUUUGUCUCUAUAAUUUAUGCAGCACAAGUGAUGCUGAGAUGAGACCUUCAAUCAUUCUUGAUACGUGUACUGCACAAACUCUAAAAUAGUGCCCAUUAACCAUCCUUUGCUGAUGUUCCCUCUUGUGUAGCUUCCUGGCGAAUGGGAUGGCCCCACUGGAUGAUGUGAGUUAUCAUAUGGAUAGAUCCAUGUAGUAAGGAACUGGUAUUUGUAACCAGAACAACAGGUUGACUUUUGCCCUGGUUAGCUCUCAUCAAGAGCCAGAUGAUCACUAAUCAACAUCUGGAUUCUAGACACAUAGAGUCAUGAGAUGAUGGUCUUAAGCUCCCCGGUUUGGGGGCAAUCAGUAGGAAUAGAUAGUUAACACAGUGCAGUCCCCAAGCAGGUAAUUAUAACUCUCUACAGAGUCCAGCAGAAUGAGUCUCACAUUCUGCUCCAGCCUCUCCAUUGCUCCCAUGACUCCUUUUGGCCAUGCCUUUUCCUCAGAUAUCUUUAUAGGAGUUCUUCUUCUGCCUGAUGUCAUCAGCUUCCUCUUCUCCAGAGAACAGAUUCUGACUUGACACCUGUGCCCUCUGGAGAACCUACCACUCGGAACCAGGCACUACUUCUGCCCCAUUUCGGGUCUUCAUGGCAUUUUGCCUACACUGAGUACAUAACACAUACUGUUUUUAUUGCUAGGUGUCUUAGUCAGUUUUUUCAUUACUGUCACAAAGUGCUUGGGCCUGGGUACUUACAAAGAAACACAUCGAUUUAUCUCACAAUUUGAGACGUUCAAAAACAUAGUACCAUCUUCAUCACAUGACAAACCACAUCAGCAGUACUGUUUCUGACAGUAUGCAAUUCCUGGAAGGCGGAAGACUAUGUCAGCUCCCAAGCCCUGGUGUCUAGAACAGUGCCAUGCUAGAACACCAUACCUGGAGUGGAUCAAUGAUUAUUUUUCCAAAACAAGGAUGCAUCUGGUAACUAAUCCCACACUCACACAGUGUGUGUGAAGCAUUUGGUAGAAGUCUCCUUUAGUUUACUGGGUAAUUGAUCAUCUUGAGUAUCUACCUGCUGAGGUAGGCUCCAGGGCUAAUAAAGCUCCCUCAGUCUGAUGCUGGCCCAUCAGUUAGUGUUUGAAGGUUGGCAGUUCUAUAAUCUGACUUGACAUCAUUUCAGUGUAUAACCUUGCAGUUGAAGUAGCCCAGGCAUCGCAAAUACUCAGGCUCUUUAUUUUUUAGAGAAAGCUUGAAAGAAAAUAUGAAGGCAUCCAUAGGAACAAGCUCAAUGGAUGUCUUAAGGUAUACACUGAAAGCAGUGAUGAAGGAGAUUUGUGUCUCAGAUGCUGAACAAGGGCACAAAGAAGAAACUGCCGAUAGAACAUACAGGGGACCUGAGAAGACUAGGGAUGAUGACCAUUCACUCAGUUUGCUUGUCAGUGCGAGAUGAUCAAGACAUCUCAUGCCCAGGAAGCAGGCCCUCUGUGGCAUCUCAGCCCUUGUGCAUUAGAGACCUAGCUAUCAAACCAGUGCCGACUCCGCCCUUUCUGCAUUCAUUUUUGCCAACAGCUAAGAAUCUAGAACCAUAGUCUCAUUUUUCUUCCAGCACUUCCAACACCA
rnacentral:lncRNA from 1 species